rnacentral:rRNA from 1 species
CUCAUAAGGGUAUAUGGUGGAUGCCUUGGGAUAUUGAGGCGAAGAAGGACGUGGCGUAGCUGCGAUAAGCCUCGGGGAGGUGUGUAGCAACCUUUGAUCCGGGGAUUUCCGAAUGGGGAAACCCGAUUCCGAUAAAUCGGAAUCGGUCCUGUCGAAUGACGGGACCGCGAACUCGGCGAAGUAAAACAUUUCAGUAGCCGGAGGAAAAGAGAAAGAUUUUUAUUUCCUUAGUAGCGGCGAGCGAAAAGGAAAGAGCCUAAACUUUUUAAAAUUUUCGCAAGAAAAUUUUAAAAGGGGUUGUAAGAUAGUGACAUCGGGGGUAACUCCGAGGAGUGCAACAAAAUAAGACUUCCUUAAUUGAAGGUGGCUGGAAAGCCCCACCACAGAAGGUAAUAGUCCUGUAAGUGAAAAGGGUCUUAUACUCCUAGUCAUUAUUCUUGAGUACGGCGAGAAACGAUAACCUUGUCGGAAGCAGGCAGAACUAUUCUGCCAAGGCUAAAUACUCAAUGUCACCGAUAGUGAACUAGUACCGUGAGGGAAAGGUGAAAAGUAGCCCAGUAAGGGCGGUGAAAUAGUGCCUGAAACCAUAUACUUACAAAGAGUCGGAGGUCCCGAUUUUAUCGGGACUGACGGCGUACUUUUUGCAGAACGACCCAACGAGUUUUUGUGUCUUCUUUGUCUAAGUCCUAUUAGGACGGAGGCAGAGGGAAACCGAGUGUGAAUAGCGCGAUUAUGAGAGGACACAAAAGACCCGAAGCCAGGCGAGCUAACCAUGGCCAGGAUGAACCCCGAUUAAUAUCGGGGGAAGGUCCGGACCCACCAGCCGUGCAAUACUGGGGGAUGAGCUGUGGUUAGAAGUGAAAAGCUAAUCGAGCCUGGUAAUAGCUGGUUCUCCUCGAAAUAGCUUUUGGGCUAGCCUCUUGUGUUCCUCUUAGGGGUAGAGCACUGGAUGGGUUAAGGUGGCGUAAGCCUACUUACCCAACCAAACUCCGAAUACUAAGAGUUAAAACAAGGGAGUCAGACUACGGGGGCUAAGCUUCGUAGUCGAAAGGGAAACAGCCCUGAUCGUCAUCUAAGGUCCCAAAGCUAAGUUAAGUGUAGCAAAAGAAGUGCCUUACCUUUGACAGAUGGGAUGUUAGCUUAGAAGUAGCUACCAUUUAAAGAGUGUGUAACAACUCACCAUUCUAUCACCUAGUACGGUGAGGCGCGCUGAAAAUGUACCGGGGCUCAAACUUAGCACCGAAGAUACGGAUCUCUCCGAUUUUUAUCGGAGGGGUGGUAGAGGAGCAUUUUCCUGGCAGCGAAGUCGUCUUGUAAGAGACGGUGGAGCCGGGGGAAGAGAGAAUGUUGGGAUGAGUAACCGCAAAUCCGAUGAGAAAUCGGAUCACCGAAAACCCAAGGUUUCCUUGGCAAUGUAAAUCAGCCAAGGGUUAGGCGAACCUAAGGCAAACCCGAAAGGGUUAGUCGAUGGACAGCCGGUUAAUAUUCCGGCCCUCCUUCACUUUUCGAUGGAAUGACGAGAUUUAGUAACCUGAGCGCGUUAUUGGAUUCGCGUUGUUUGCUUAAGGACGUUUAACAGGAAAAUCCGUUAAACGCCAGUCCAAGAGCCGACAAAAGAUUUGUCUUCGGACGGAUUAAUUCAGGUGAGCAGGUCUCCAAGAAAAUUUUCUAGAAUUAGAAGUGAAGGAUUCGUACCGUAAACCGACACAGGUGGGUAGGGCGAGAAGCCCAAGGUGAACGGGUGAAACCUCGUUAAGGAACUCGGCAAAAUAACGGCCGUAAGUUCGCAAUAAGGCCUUCCCGAUGAUGAAUCGGGACGCAGUUAAAGAUCCCUAGCGACUGUUUACUAAAAACACAGGUCCCUGCUAACUCGCAAGAGGAUGUAUAGGGGCUGACACUUGACCAGUGCUAGAAGGUUAACGAUGGGGGUUGUUCCGCAAGNNNNNNNNNACACUUGACCAGUGCUAGAAGGUUAACGAUGGGGGUUGUUCCGCAAGGGACAGCUCACUGUCCGAAGCCCUAGUGAACGUCGGCGAUAACUAUAAUUGACGAUUGUAGUUAUAAAAUUUGGCUAUAUGCUGGAAAGUCCGGAACAUAUUAGUGUACUCGUUUCAUUAAAGAAGCAGUAAAAAUCACUAAUCAUUAUUUGAAAUAAAAUUUCAGAUAGCCGGAUAAUCAGCAGGAAAGACUUAUGAACAAUUCAAAAUGGUUAAAUGAUAUUCCUUUAGAAUGGGGACAUUAUAUUGCUGGAUUUGUUGAUGGAGAAGGAAGCUUCAAUGUUUCUUUAAGAAAAAGAGAUGAUCAUACAAUGAAAUGGCAAGUAGUUUUAACUUUUAAUGUCUCCCAAAAGGAAUUGUAUAUUCUUUCGCAGCUUAAAAAAUAUUUAAAUUGCGGAAGAUUGCAAACAAGGAGAGAUGGUGUAAAUUAUUAUGUUUGUUCUAAUCCAAUGGCGAUUAGAGAAAAGAUAAUACCAUUUUUCCAAAAAUUCCAAUUUCGUUCAGCACAGAAAAAGAAAAAUUUUUCAAUUUUUUGCCAGAUAGCAAAAAAAGUUUUUAACAGAGAGCAUUUAACAGAAAAAGGAUUAAGAGAAAUAGUUUGGUUACGAGAAAAAUUGAACGAAGGAAAAGGCAGAAAAAGAAAAUACGAAUUGAACGAUUACGAAAAAUCGUUAAAUAAGAAUCCUCAGAGACUAUACGCCAAACCGCGAAAAUUCAGAAAAGAAUUUAGCGGAUGAUAUAGUCCGAUCUCAUAAGCGAUUAUGAGCAUAACAUUAAGAAUCGUCCUAAGGUACCGAAAUUCCUUGGCAUGUAAGUUAUGUCCUGCAGGAAAAGUGUAACGACUGGGGAACUGUCUCAACGAGGAGCCCGGU